CAAAAGCAUGGCGGGUGUUCCGAUUCCUCACACUUCAAUCCUGACCUUCCACCUCAUCUCCAUGUCCUAAUUGAGAUGAGAGAAGGUUUGGACGGAGCGUGAGGUUUCGGAUCUGAGAAUAUACCGUUCCAAGAACUUGAUCUAGAUAAUUCUAGCGAAAGGAUCAUGCUUCCCCUAUUUC
rnacentral:ncRNA from 14 species